UGGGUCUCCAUGGUUAGGGUUUUGAAAACUUCAAACAAUUGUAACUUGAGUUCUAGGCCACCAAAUUGAGUGGUUCCAAAGCCUAACUCACUUAAAAUUUUGCAAGGAAUCCAUUUUUGUCCUUAUUUUUGAGUUUGGUGCGGUGUAGAGGGAGAUACUGCCCAUUUUCAAUUGCGAAAUAUUGAAGUAUUUUGGGGAUUUUGGUGGAUUGGAAGCUCACUUUGGUUCAUUGGUUGCUUGAAGAUCAUUCCCUUGGACCCUAGGAGUUGUUUUGUGGUGUUUUGGAGCACAAGUCAAGUAAAGGCUAUUUUGGAUAACUUCUUGGAUUUCAAGUUAUUUUGCAAGGAAAGCUUUUGACAAACAGGUAUACAAGAUAUUGUGAUGUGAUUCAUUUGAUGCAUGAUUCGUCUGAUUCAAGUUUCAUGACCAUUGAAAAUUACAAGUAUGUACUUUCAUUGAGGGACAAAAGCAUCGAAAGUGCAUGAUAC